rnacentral:rRNA from 1 species
CCUACGGGUGGCAGCAGUGGGGAAUUUUGGACAAUGGGCGCAAGCCUGAUCCAGCCAUGCCGCGUGAGUGAAGAAGGCCUUCGGGUUGUAAAGCUCUUUCAGUCGGGAAGAAAAGGCGGGCUCUAACAUAGCCUGUUGCUGACGGUACCGACAGAAGAAGCACCGGCUAACUACGUGCCAGCAGCCGCGGUAAUACGUAGGGUGCGAGCGUUAAUCGGAAUUACUGGGCGUAAAGCGUGCGCAGGCGGUUUGCUAAGACAGGUGUGAAAUCCCCGGGCUUAACCUGGGAACUGCGCUUGUGACUGGCAGGCUAGAGUACGGCAGAGGGGGGUGGAAUUCCACGUGUAGCAGUGAAAUGCGUAGAGAUGUGGAGGAACACCGAUGGCGAAGGCAGCCCCCUGGGCCUGUACUGACGCUCAUGCACGAAAGCGUGGGGAGCAAACAGGAUUAGAUACCCGAGUAGUC